rnacentral:tRNA from 1 species
GGCGCACGUGCUGCGGCUGCGCGCGGACGGCUCGCUGGAGCUGGGCCCGGCCGGCGUCACCGGUCGCGCGGCGCGGUUCCGCGGCGAACCC